UACGAAGGGUGCAAGCGUUACUCGGAAUUACUGGGCGUAAAGCGUGCGUAGGUGGUGAGUUAAGUCUGUCGUGAAAUCUCCACCGCUCACCGGGGAGGGGCCGUUGGAUACUACGGAUCUGGAGUUCGGCAGAGGACCAUGGAAUUUCGGGUGUAGCGGUGGAAUGCGUAGAUAUCCGAAAGAACACCGGUGGCGAAGGCGGUGGUCUGGGCCUGAACUGACGCUGAGGAGCGAAAGCCAGGGGAGCAAACGGG
rnacentral:rRNA from 1 species